UACGUAGGGUGCGAGCGUUGUCCGGAAUUAUUGGGCGUAAAGAGCUCGUAGGCGGUGUGUCGCGUCGGCCGUGAAAACCUGGGGCUCAACUCUGGGCGUGCGGUCGAUACGGGCAUCACUUGAGUUCGGCAGGGGAGACUGGAAUUCCUGGUGUAGCGGUGAAAUGCGCAGAUAUCAGGAGGAACACCGGUGGCGAAGGCGGGUCUCUGGGCCGAUACUGACGCUGAGGAGCGAAAGUGUGGGGAUCAAACAGG
rnacentral:rRNA from 1 species